rnacentral:rRNA from 1 species
GAUUGACACAUCGGUCGUGCCUUAAGGGGUAUGAACUGGUGUAGUCAAUUUCUCACCUUCUGGAGAACGGCGAUGCCCUUAAUUGGGUGUCGCGGGGAACCAGGACCUUUACUUUGAAAAAUUAGAGUGUUUAAAGCAGGCAUUUUGCUUGAAUACAUUAGCAUGGAAUAAUAAAAUAGGACGGCAUGAUUCUAUUUUGUGGUUUCUAGGAUCACCGUAAUGAUUAAUAGGGAUAGUUGGG